UACGGAGGGGGCAAGCGUUGUUCGGAAUUACUGGGCGUAAAGGGCGCGUAGGCGGACAGUUUAGUCAGAGGUGAAAGCCCAGGGCUCAACCCUGGAAUUGCCUUUGAUACUGGCUGUCUUGAGUACGGGAGAGGUGUGUGGAAUUCCUAGUGUAGAGGUGAAAUUCGUAGAUAUUAGGAAGAACACCAGUGGCGAAGGCGGCUCACUGGCCCGGUACUGACGCUGAGGCGCGAAAGCGUGGGGAGCAAACAGG
rnacentral:rRNA from 1 species